rnacentral:tRNA from 1 species
AUAUCCAAACCGUUGCCAGAGGCUCCGUUAAAAAUUAACCCGAAUGGCCCUCUCAAGGCUAAAACACGGGUUCGACUCCCGUUGGGACCACCA